GAUGAACGCUGGCGGCGUGCCUAAUACAUGCAAGUCGAGCGAACAGACGAGGAGCUUGCUCCUCUAACGUUAGCGGCGGACGGGUGAGUAACACGUGGAUAACCUACCUAAAAGACUGGGAUAACUUCGGGAAACCGGAGCUAAUACCGGAUAAUAUAUUGAACCGCAUGGUUCAAUAGUGAAAGACGGUUUUGCUGUCACUUAUAGAUGGAUCCGCGCCGCAUUAGCUAGUUGGUAAGGUAACAGCUUACCAAGGCAACGAUGCGUAGCCGACCUGAGAGGGUGAUCGGCCACACUGGAACUGAGACACGGUCCAGACUCCUACGGGAGGCAGCAGUAGGGAAUCUUCCGCAAUGGGCGAAAGCCUGACGGAGCAACGCCGCGUGAGUGAUGAAGGUCUUCGGAUCGUAAAACUCUGUUAUUAGGGAAGAACAAAUGUGUAAGUAACUAUGCACGUCUUGACGGUACCUAAUCAGAAAGCCACGGCUAACUACGUG
rnacentral:rRNA from 1 species